rnacentral:tRNA from 1 species
AGGCAUGUGGUUUAGUGGUAUAACAUUUGUUUAGCAUGUGAAAUGUCCGGUGUUCAAUUCGCCGCUUGUCCA